rnacentral:lncRNA from 1 species
GGCCGGUCGUUGCGUUGGGAUGGAUCAGGCGGAAUUCCAGAAGAGAAAAUAAUCCCUGUCUAGAUGCAGAGGACUUGGUUCCUAUUCCAGUGCUCCUCCGGUAGCAGGGAGGCGACAGAAGGUGUCCAACUAUCCAUUACCAAGAAGAAAUCUAUUCGUUUGAGCCUGAGACACUCUUUGAGGUAAAAAAUUAGAAUGAAAGAACCUUUGGAUGGUGAAUGUGGCAAAGCAGUGGUACCACAGCAGGAGCUUCUGGACAAAAUUAAAGAAGAACCAGACAAUGCUCAAGUAAGCAUUUCAUCUUCAUUUAAAAAUUUAAAAAAAUUCCUUCUUUUCCAUCUGGUCAACUGAAAAAUUUUAGUUAAACGGCUUCUGGUUUGUAAGUUUAAAAUAACCCAAACUGAGACAGGCUCUCGCUGUCGCUGAGGGUGUAGUGCAGUGGUGCGAUCUCCUUAGCUCACUGCAGCCUCCACCUCCCAGGCUCAAGUGAUCUUCCCACCUCAGCCUCCUGUGUAGCUGGGACCACAGGGCACACACCAACAUGCUCAACUAUUUUUUUGUAUUUUUGGUAGAGACGGGGUUUGGCCAUGUUUCCCAGGCUGGUCUCAAACUCCUGAGCUCAAGCAAUCCACCCACCUUGGCCUCCCAAAGUUCUGGGAUUACAGGCAUGAGCCACCAUUCCUGGC